AGAACGAACGCUGGCGGCAGGCCUAACACAUGCAAGUCGAACGCUCCAGCAAUGGAGAGUGGCAGACGGGUGAGUAACACGUGGGAACCUUCCCUAUGGUUCGGAAUAGCUCAGGGAAACUUGGGGUAAUACCGGAUAAGCCCUUCGGGGGAAAGAUUUAUCGCCAUUGGAUGGGCCCGCGUCGGAUUAGCUAGUUGGUGAGGUAACGGCUCACCAAGGCAACGAUCCGUAGCUGGUCUGAGAGGAUGAUCAGCCACACUGGGACUGAGACACGGCCCAGACUCCUACGGGAGGCAGCAGUGGGGAAUAGUUGGACAAGUGGGCGCAAGCCUGAUCCGGCCAUGCCGCGUGAGUGACGAAGGUCUUCGGAUUGUAAAACUCGUUUUGGCGGGACGAUAAUGACCGGUACCGACAGAAGUAAGCCCCGGCUAACUUCGUGCCAGCACGCCGC
rnacentral:rRNA from 1 species